rnacentral:rRNA from 1 species
GAUGAACGCUGGCGGCGUGCCUAAUACAUGCAAGUAGAACGCUGAAGGAGGAGCUUGCUCUUCUGGAUGAGUUGCGAACGGGUGAGUAACGCGUAGGUAACCUGCCUGGUAGCGGGGGAUAACUAUUGGAAACGAUAGCUAAUACCGCAUGACAACAGUUAUUGCAUGAUAACUGUUUAAAAGGGGCAACUGCUCCACUACCAGAUGGACCUGCGUUGUAUUAGCUAGUUGGUGAGGUAACGGCUCACCAAGGCGACGAUACAUAGCCGACCUGAGAGGGUGAUCGGCCACACUGGGAAUGAGAAACGGCCCAGACUCCUACGGGAGGCAGCAGUAGGGAAUCUUCGGCAAUGGACGGAAGUCUGACCGAGCAACGCCGCGUGAGUGAAGAAGGUUUUCGGAUCGUAAAGCUCUGUUGUAAGAGAAGAACGAGUGUGAGAGUGGAAAGUUCACACUGUGACGGUAUCUUAACAGAAAGGGACGGCUAACUACGUG